GUAGGUGGCAAGCGUUGUCCGGAAUUAUUGGGGCGUAAAGCGCGCGCAGGCGGUUCUUUAAGUCUGAUGUGAAAGCCCACGGGCUCAACCGUGGAGGGUCAUUGGAAACUGGAGAACUUGAGUACAGAAGAGGAAAGCGGAAUUCCACGUGUAGCGGUGAAAUGCGUAGAGAUGUGGAGGAACACCAGUGGCGAAGGCGGCUUUCUGGUCUGUAACUGACGCUGAGGCGCGAAAGCGUGGGGAGCAAACAGGAUUAGAUACCCUGGUAGUCCACGCCGUAAACGAUGAGUGCUAAGUGUUAGGGGGUUUCCGCCCCUUAGUGCUGCAGCUAACGCAUUAAGCACUCCGCCUGGGGAGUACGGCCGCAAAGGCUG
rnacentral:rRNA from 1 species